AAAAAGGCAAGAAAGAGGAGGGUGUGAAUCUUGUCAUACUUUUGUUUUGUUUUUGUGUGUACGUGUGCGUGUGUUUCCUUCUCUUCUCUUUUCCUCUUUCUUCUAUUUGGGCUGCUGGUAUACAGACAACAGAGAUGGAAGGAGGAUGAGGAGA
rnacentral:ribozyme from 14 species